rnacentral:rRNA from 1 species
CAGGCUUAACACAUGCAAGUCGAGCGGAUGUAGGGAGCUUGCUCCUGGAUUCAGCGGCGGACGGGUGAGUAAUGCUUAGGAAUCUGCCUAUUAGUGGGGGACAACAGUUGGAAACGACUGCUAAUACCGCAUACGCCCUACGGGGGAAAGGAGGGGAUCUUCGGACCUUUCGCUAAUAGAUGAGCCUAAGUCAGAUUAGCUAGUUGGUGGGGUAAAGGCCUACCAAGGCGACGAUCAGUAGCGGGUCUGAGAGGAUGAUCCGCCACACUGGGACUGAGACACGGCCAGACUCCUACGGGAGGCAGCAGUGGGGAAUAUUGGACAAUGGGGGCAACCCUGAUCCAGCCAUGCCGCGUGUGUGAAGAAGGCCUUUUGGUUGUAAAGCACUUUAAGCGAGGAGGAGGAGCUCUUGGUUAAUACCCAAGAUGCUUGGACGUUACUCGCAGAAUAAGCACCGGCUAACUCUGUGCCAGCAGCCGCGGUAAUACAGAGGGUGCGAGCGUUAAUCGGAUUUACUGGGCGUAAAGCGUACGUAGGCGGCUUUUUAAGUCGGAUGUGAAAUCCCUGAGCUUAACUUAGGAAUUGCAUUCGAUACUGGGAAGCUAGGGUAUGGGAGAGGAUGGUAGAAUUCCAGGUGUAGCGGUGAAAUGCGUAGAGAUCUGGAGGAAUACCGAUGGCGAAGGCAGCCAUCUGGCCUAAUACUGACGCUGAGGUACGAAAGCAUGGGGAGCAAACAGGAUUAGAUACCCUGGUAGUCCAUGCCGUAAACGAUGUCUACUAGCCGUUGGGGCCUUUGAGGCUUUAGUGGCGCAGCUAACGCGAUAAGUAGACCGCCUGGGGAGUACGGUCGCAAGACUAAAACUCAAAUGAAUUGACGGGGGCCCGCACAAGCGGUGGAGCAUGUGGUUUAAUUCGAUGCAACGCGAAGAACCUUACCUGGCCUUGACAUACAGAGAGCUUUCCAGAGAUGGAUUGGUGCCUUCGGGAACUCUGAUACAGGUGCUGCAUGGCUGUCGUCAGCUCGUGUCGUGAGAUGUUGGGUUAAGUCCCGCAACGAGCGCAACCCUUUUCCUUAUUUGCCAGCGAGUAAUGUCGGGAACUUUAAGGAUACUGCCAGUGACAAACUGGAGGAAGGCGGGGACGACGUCAAGUCAUCAUGGCCCUUACGGCCAGGGCUACACACGUGCUACAAUGGUCGGUACAAAGGGUUGCUACCUAGCGAUAGGAUGCUAAUCUCAAAAAGCCGAUCGUAGUCCGGAUUGGAGUCUGCAACUCGACUCCAUGAAGUCGGAAUCGCUAGUAAUCGCGGAUCAGAAUGCCGCGGUGAAUACGUUCCCGGGCCU